rnacentral:rRNA from 1 species
GAUGAACGCUGGCGGCGUGCUUAACACAUGCAAGUCGAACGGUGAAGCAGAGCUUGCUCUGUGGAUCAGUGGCGAACGGGUGAGUAACACGUGAGCAAUCUGCCCCUGACUCUGGGAUAAGCGCUGGAAACGGCGUCUAAUACCGGAUACGAGCUGCGACCGCAUGGUCAGUAGCUGGAAAGAAUUUCGGUCAGGGAUGAGCUCGCGGCCUAUCAGCUUGUUGGUGAGGUAAUGGCUCACCAAGGCGUCGACGGGUAGCCGGCCUGAGAGGGUGACCGGCCACACUGGGACUGAGACACGGCCCAGACUCCUACGGGAGGCAGCAGUGGGGAAUAUUGGACAAUGGGGGCAACCCUGAUCCAGCAAUGCCGCGAGUGAAGAAGGCCUUCGGGUUGUAAAGCUCUUUUGUCUGUGGAGAUAAUGACGGUAACAGACGAAUAAGCACCGGCUAACUUCGUGCCAGCCGCCGCAGUAA